rnacentral:rRNA from 1 species
CCUACGGGCGGCUUCAGUGGGGAAUAUUGGACAAUGGGGGGAACCCUGAUCCAGCCAUGCCGCGUGUGUGAAGAAGGCCCUCGGGUUGUAAAGCACUUUCAGUGAGGAAGAACGCCUGGUGGUUAAUACCCAUCAGGAAAGACAUCACUCACAGAAGAAGCACCGGCUAACUCCGUGCCAGCAGCCGCGGUAAUACGGAGGGUGCGAGCGUUAAUCGGAAUUACUGGGCGUAAAGCGCGCGUAGGUGGCUUGAUAAGCCGGUUGUGAAAGCCCCGGGCUCAACCUGGGAACGGCAUCCGGAACUGUCAAGCUAGAGUGCAGGAGAGGAAGGUAGAAUUCCCGGUGUAGCGGUUAAAUGCGUAGAGAUCGGGAGGAAUACCAGUGGCGAAGGCGGCCUUCUGGACUGACACUGACACUGAGGUGCGAAAGCGUGGGUAGCAAACAGGAUUAGAUACCCGAGUAGUC